rnacentral:rRNA from 1 species
GAUGAACGCUGGCGGCGUGCCUAAUACAUGCAAGUCGAGCGAACGGACGAGAAGCUUGCUUCUCUGAUGUUAGCGGCGGACGGGUGAGUAACACGUGGAUAACCUACCUAUAAGACUGGGAUAACUUCGGGAAACCGGAGCUAAUACCGGAUAAUAUUUUGAACCGCAUGGUUCAAAAGUGAAAGACGGUCUUGCUGUCACUUAUAGAUGGAUCCGCGCUGCAUUAGCUAGUUGGUAAGGUAACGGCUUACCAAGGCAACGAUGCAUAGCCGACCUGAGAGGGUGAUCGGCCACACUGGAACUGAGACACGGUCCAGACUCCUACGGGAGGCAGCAGUAGGGAAUCUUCCGCAAUGGGCGGAAGCCUGACGGAGCAACGCCGCGUGAGUGAUGAAGGUCUUCGGAUCGUAAAACUCUGUUAUUAGGGAAGAACAUAUGUGUAAGUAACUGUGCACAUCUUGACGGUACCUAAUCAGAAAGCCACGGCUAACUACGUGCCAGCAGCCGCGGUAAUACGUAGGUGGCAAGCGUUAUCCGGAAUUAUUGGGCGUAAAGCGCGCGUAGGCGGUUUUUUAAGUCUGAUGUGAAAGCCCACGGCUCAUUCGUGGAGGGUCAUUGGAAACUGGAAAACUUGAGUGCAGAAGAGGAAAGUGGAAUUCCAUGUGUAGCGGUGAAAUGCGCAGAGAUAUGGAGGAACACCAGUGGCGAAGGCGACUUUCUGGUCUGUAACUGACGCUGAUGUGCGAAAGCGUGGGGAUCAAACAGGAUUAGAUACCCUGGUAGUCCACGCCGUAAACGAUGAGUGCUAAGUGUUAGGGGGUUUCCGCCCCUUAGUGCUGCAGCUAACGCAUUAAGCACUCCGCCUGGGGAGUACGACCGCAAGGUUGAAACUCAAAGGAAUUGACGGGGACCCGCACAAGCGGUGGAGCAUGUGGUUUAAUUCGAAGCAACGCGAAGAACCUUACCAAAUCUUGACAUCCUUUGACAACUCUAGAGAUAGAGCUUUCCCCUUCGGGGGACAAAGUGACAGGUGGUGCAUGGUUGUCGUCAGCUCGUGUCGUGAGAUGUUGGGUUAAGUCCCGCAACGAGCGCAACCCUUAAGCUUAGUUGCCAUCAUUAAGUUGGGCACUCUAAGUUGACUGCCGGUGACAAACCGGAGGAAGGUGGGGAUGACGUCAAAUCAUCAUGCCCCUUAUGAUUUGGGCUACACACGUGCUACAAUGGACAAUACAAAGGGCAGCGAAACCGUGAGGUCAAGCAAAUCCCAUAAAGUUGUUCUCAGUUCGGAUUGUAGUCUGCAACUCGACUACAUGAAGCUGGAAUCGCUAGUAAUUGUAGAUCAGCAUGCUACGGUGAAUACGUUCCCGGGUCU